AGAGUUUGAUCCUGGCUCAGAAUGAACGCUGGCGGCGUGCUUUACACAUGCAAGUCGAGCGAGGCGUCCCGCAAGGGACAGUCGAGCGGCGAACGGGUGAGUAACGCGUGGAUGACCUGCCCUGAGGUGGGGAAUAACCCGGGGAAACUCGGGCUAAUACCGCAUAUGACCGUGAGGUCAAAGAGGGGUCGCAAGAUCUCUUGCCACAGGAGGGGUCCGCGUUCGAUUAGCUAGUUGGCAGGGNUAAUGGCCUACCAAGGNCGACGAUCGAUAGCCGGCCUGAGAGGGUGAUCGGCCACACUGGAACUGANACACGGUCCAGACUCCUACGGGAGGCAGCAGUGGGGAAUUUUUGCGCAAUGGGCUAACGCCUGACGCAGCAACNCCGNGUGGAGGAUUNCNGGUCUUUGGAUNGUAAACUCCUGUUCGUCGGGGGAAAAAGGGACUCNANCUAAUACGUCGGGGGACUUGAUNUGUACCCCGCAGAGGGAAGCCCCGGGUUACCUCUGUGCCAGGCAGGCCGCGGGUAAUANCNGAGUGGGAGCCAGCNUCGAUUCGGAAUUAUCUGGGNCGUAAAGCGGCGCNGUANGGCGGGCGAUUCNNGGUGGCGGGGUGACAUCCCCUNCUGGCUCUAANCGAUGNAACUGCCCUGCACAGCACUNGNNUUGUUUCNAUUCCGGNCGAGAGUGUUNNAGUGCGAAAUUUCCGCNGUGGUUGGCNGGUUGANNU
rnacentral:rRNA from 1 species